GUGCUUUGUUCGUUCAUGAAAAACCGGGUUGGCCGCGAUAUGCUGAGCCGCUUGGUUGUCGCAGUGAAGCGGUAUAGGAAGUUGUGGAUCGGCGUGAAACUCUUUCAUCAGGAUAUUAAGGAUGGUCCGAGGAAUAUGCAGAACCCGGUGAGAGAUUUCCGGGUCAUCGGACAAGAAGCCCAGUCAGCAUCGGAGAAAGCUCGGAGCUUGAGAUCGUUCUGAGCUGGGAAAAAUAACCCUCUUGUUGGACAACUCUUCAGAUAGCGAAGCACGUGAAGUGCGGCGUUCCAGUGCGGUUGACGCGACUGUUGCAUGAACUGGCUGAGGUGCUGCGUCGCGUAGGAGAUGUCUGGCCUGGUAACUCCGAGAAAUAAUCCAGUCUCAGAACGUGCGAUCUGUAAUCCCAGAAAGUAU